CUACGGGCGGCUGCAGUGGGGAAUAUUGCACAAUGGGCGCAAGCCUGAUGCAGCCAUGCCGCGUGUAUGACGAAGGCCUUCGGGUUGUAAAGUACUUUCAGCGGGGAGGAAGGGAGUAAAGUUAAUACCUUUGCUCAUUGACGUUACCCGCAGAAGAAGCACCGGCAAACUCCGUGCCAGCAGCCGCGGUAAUACGGAGGGUGCAAGCGUUGAUCGGAAUUACUGGGCGUAAAGCGCACGCAGGCGGUUUGUUAAGUCAGAUGUGAAAUCCCCGGGCUCAACCUGGGAACUGCAUCUGAUACUGGCAAGCUUGAGUCUCGUAGAGGGGGGUAGAAUUCCAGGUGUAGCGGUGAAAUGCGUAGAGAUCUGGAGGAAUACCGGUGGCGAAGGCGGCCCCCUGGACGAAGACUGACGCUCAGGUGCGAAAGCGUGGGGAGCAAACAGGAUUAGAUACCCUUGUAGUC
rnacentral:rRNA from 1 species